AUUGAACGCUGGCGGCAGGCCUAACACAUGCAAGUCGAGCGAGCGGCGGACGGGUGAGUAAUGUAUGGGGACUGCCCGAUAGAGGGGGCUAACUACUGGAAACGGUAGCUAAUACCGCAUACUAUCGGAUAACCCAUGUGGGAUUAGCUAGUAGGUGAGGUAAUGGGUCACCUAGGCGACGCUCCCUAGCUGGUCUGAGAGGAUGAUCAGCCACGCUGGGGCGGGGAAACGGCCCAGACUCCUGCGGAGGGAGAAGUGGGGAAUAUUGCACAAUGGGAGCAAGCCUGAAGCAGGCAUGAGGCGUGUAUGAAGAAGGCAGUGGGGUUGUAAAGUACUGUCAGUCGGGAGGCGUUACCAACAGAAGAAGCACCGGCUAACUCCGUGCCAGCAGCCGCGGUAAUUC
rnacentral:rRNA from 1 species